CGUCUGCGUGCUCCUCAGGCACACUGCAUGAAUACUUCCUGAGAUGACAGAAGCUCCCUUCCCAUUCUACCCGGACUUCAAACACAUUUGGAAAUGAAGAAACUGGGGCAGGCAUCCACUCUGUACUCAUCACAGUGGAUUACCGCGGCGAUGUCUGCGGAGUGCCGACAUUUGGCGGGGAGUCCAUUAUUCAGUUCUUUGACUGCGGCGUUGGCGCGGCAGCUAACAGGAUUACAGAGACGCACGCCGUUCGCCCCUCCACGGAAGCGCCGCCACACAGAGAGAGGACGGAAGUAGUCAACAACAAAAAGCUGCCACACUGACACAGCCAAGACGCCCCCAGCAGCCACACUGUCACAGAUGCCCCCGUAUUGCUCUUAAAGUGAUUCUAGGUCUCUGAGUAAAAGAAGGGCCAGUACCUGGUAGUUGUAUAUGUAAAAUGUAUGUUAAUACAGACAACUAUAAUUGUUGAUGGCCAGCAAUUUGAUCUACUGCAGGGGUUGGCAACAGGCGGCCCGCGGACCAAUACCGGCCCAGGAGUGAUUUAUUUUGGCCCCCCAAAGUGAAUUUGUUUUACUGUAAAAUUAGUUUAAUUCAGGGAACUGUUCCCAAGUAUUCCCAUGAAUAAAAAAAGAGAGACGUGGUCAUGUCUCAAUGUAAUAAAGGAAUUAAAUUGUU